UUCAGCAACUCCACCUCGGCACCAGUCCCCAUCCCGUGACACUAUCGCGACGGCGGCGUCACCUCGUCGAUCUCCGAUCCAACAUGGAUUACUUGGGGAAACUGUCUCCUACUCUUGGAGAAUCAUUUAAGCCAUAUCUAUCUCGCAAGUGGGGGAAACACUCGCCUACCAGCUACAAUCCGGCGUGGCAUUUGUUGAGGCAUGAAUCACCUCCACAAUCUGAAGC
rnacentral:lncRNA from 1 species